AGAAAAUAAAAAAUAUAUUUGCGAGUCCAUCGUUGCAUAUUAAUUAUGCCCUCCCCGCCAUCAAAAGGUACUCAAGUGCACACUUCUGUAGACGAUCCAAAGUUGAUCAGUUCUACCCAGACAGCACUUGGCAAAGCACACUCGCACUUGUUCAACAUGAUUCACUUAUUAUUGGAUUGGCAUUAAUGAAGUAUUUAUUUUGGCGGUUCAAAGAACAAGAGAAUUUACUCUCGUCAUCAUGCGUCGAUAUUAAAUUAUUUCUCAAAGUUCAUUCCAUUCUUAAUUUGGUUUUUCUGAAUGAGAAAGUGGC
rnacentral:lncRNA from 1 species